GGUUGAAACAACUUAAUAUCACUUGAAUAAAGCUGAAAUGGAAGCCAAAAGGCGAAGGGCAGAAGAGGAAGAAAUGAAACGACGGGAACUUGAAAAAGCGAAACAGAAAGAAAUUGAGGAACAAUUAAGGAAAGAGGAUGAAGAGGCAAAAUCUCGACAAGCUGCUCUUGAACAAGAGAGAUUAGAUCACGAACUGGCCUUGCGUUUGGCAAAGGAAUCCAAUUUGAAUGUAUAUAGAACCCAUGGAGGAACAAAAAGCUAUUAUAAGAGCGGCUUCCUUGAAAGAUCCGAAUAAGAAAUAUGACCUGAGUAAAUCAUGGAAAUAUGCUGAGUUAAGAGACACCAUCAACACCUCGUGCGAUGUCGAGUUAUUACAAGCUUGUAAACAAGAGUUCCAUCGCCGUCUUAAGGUUUAUCAUCAGUGGAAAAAUAAGGCAUCGAAGUCAACAGGUCAAAGUGCUGGUGAUCAAAGAGCACCUCAAGAGGUCGUGGAAGAAGGUAAACAUUGUUGGUAACCAAGGAUGCAUCUGGUAAGACUUCCCUUAUUGAUAGAUUCAAUGCUGGUAAAUUUCCAUCAAUUACCUCUGUGUCAUGUUACUCUUGAGUCUUGUUACAAGCUAAUGGCUGUGAAUAAUAUUCCUGUGGAGUUUAUGAUAUAUUAAUUGCAGUAGAAGAUUAUGAAGACAAGAUCUUUAAUGUAAUGUUAUUCAGUUGACUCAAAAGAGAGUUUUGAAAGUUUUUCCAGUGUAUGGUGGCCAGAGAUCAGUGCUGCUCGCAUAAGGAAACCAUUUUUAUUAGUUGGACUAAAAAAGGAGCUUCGUCCUGGCAAACAAACGCAUGAACUGAGUAGGUGAAAGCUAAUGAAGGUAAAAAACUUACAAAAUAUAUUGGUGCCGUAGGUUUUUAAGAGUGCUCAUCAGUUACUAAUGAAUGAAACAAUGAGAUUUUUGAAAUGGCAGUAAACAAGUGCGAGAUUGUAGUAAAAAAGAAAGGGGAGCUCAAAAAUCAAGCUUGGGUGUAUAUCUGUUGUUGCAAGACAAACUAAUGAAGUACUUGAAAUUUAAAUCAUUAUAUAUUUCAAGUUUGCCCUGAAUACCUGAGAUGUUUGAAAUGACACUGGAAAGGGAUACAGGUUUGUAGUCUGGUGUGCAAUUUUCCACGGGCAGAGAGGGUUGGCUGACGGCUAUUUUCCAUUUACAAAACACUCAGAAUCUUAUAAAGGACAAAGCAGACCCUGAAAUAACUCAAAAACUAACCAGGUAUUUUCGGUGGUUCCAUUUCGGAGUUUGCAAAUAUCGAAAAAUAAACGAAAUGGUAAAAGAAAAUUGCUACCAGGAACCGAGAAAAAAAGUUGUUAUAGUUUUAGUUUGAAAAGAUUAACGCGAAAAGAGAAGGCUUUUAUAUCAAGCUAAGAGUAUUUUCCAUUAAUCGCUUCACGGAGAGGAAUUUUGCUAAUCACUUACAACGGACAAUAGAAAUAUGCAAAACAUAUUUAUUUGGCUAAUUUAUAUCCAUUCCGGGCAAGUCUGACAUGAGUUAGUUGAUUAUCUAUUGUUGUCAAUGCGUUAAUUGUCCGUUGGAAUUUUCUUUGUUUGUUGAAGUAAUAAAAGGCGGUUGAAUCUAGACGAAACUCAGUCUUUGCAGUCUCGAAAAGGAAGCAUCAGUCAAAGAAGUUCACUAGGAAAAGUUGGAAGAUUCUUGCAGAACGAACUACGGCGCCGAAAGAUGGGGAAGGAGAAACGUAAAGGCUUGCUCGCAGCGAGUAAUAGGUAUUAUUAUUCAUAUCAUACUUUUGUUGUCAGAUGAUGAAGGAUCGUCGCAGCAUCAGAUGUUGAAGAAUCGUCGCAGG
rnacentral:misc_RNA from 1 species